AGAGUUUGAUCCUGGCUCAGAACGAACGCUGGCGGCGUGCUUAACACAUGCAAGUCGAACGUGAUCCAGAGCUUGCUCUGGUGAAAGUGGCGCACGGGUGAGUAACGCGUGGAUAACCUGCCCUGGUAUCUGGGAUAACAUCUCGAAAGGGGUGCUAAUACCGGAUAAGCUUACGGUUCCUUCGGUGACUGUGAGAAAAGGUGGCCUCUGAAUAUGCUACCGUAUCAGGAUGGGUCCGCGUACCAUUAGCUAGUUGGUGGGGUAAUGGCCUACCAAGGCGACGAUSGUUAGCUGGUCUGAGAGGAUGAUCAGCCACACUGGAACUGAGACACGGUCCAGACUCCUACGGGAGGCAGCAGUGGGGAAUAUUGGACAAUGGGCGCAAGCCUGAUCCAGCCAUGCCGCGUGGGUGAAGAAGGCCUUCGGGUUGUAAAGCCCUUUUGUUGGGAAAGAAAACUUUCCGGUCAAUACCCGGAGAGAAUGACGGUACCCAAAGAAUAAGCACCGGCUAACUUCGUGCCAGCCGCCGCGGUAAUA
rnacentral:rRNA from 1 species